UCCGAGCUACUACUCCAAGCGGUCUACUUCAAAUUUCUACUACGAGCGGUCCGCAUUGGAUUUCUACUGUAAGCCUCCACCCGAGCUUCCCUUGUGAACGAAUUCCUUCCGGACUUCUAUUGCAGGUAGGCUUCGGUCGAGCUUCCUCAUCAAAUUAUCCCCAUCCGAACUUCUACGGGAACCAGACUCCGAUCGAACUUCUGUA
rnacentral:lncRNA from 1 species